GCGGGGGUUGCCCAGCCAGGUCAAAGGCGCAGGGCUUAGGACCCUGUCUCGUAGGAGUUCGUGCGUUCGAAUCGCACCUCCCGCA
rnacentral:tRNA from 1 species